GACGAACGCUGGCGGCGUGCCUAAUACAUGCAAGUAGAACGCUGAAGGAGGAGCUUGCUUCUCUGGAUGAGUUGCGAACGGGUGAGUAACGCGUAGGUAACCUGCCUGGUAGCGGGGGAUAACUAUUGGAAACGAUAGCUAAUACCGCAUAAGAGUAGAUGUUGCAUGACAUUUGCUUAAAAGGUGCAAUUGCAUCACUACCAGAUGGACCUGCGUUGUAUUAGCUAGUUGGUGGGGUAACGGCUUACCAAGGCGACGAUACAUAGCCGACCUGAGAGGGUGAUCGGCCACACUGGGACUGAGACACGGCCCAGACUCCUACGGGAGGCAGCAGUAGGGAAUCUUCGGCAAUGGACGGAAGUCUGACCGAGCAACGCCGCGUGAGGGAAGAAGGGUUUCGGAUCGUAAAGCUCUGUUGUAAGAGAAGAACGAGUGUGAGAGUGGAAAGUUCACACUGUGACGGUAUCUUACCAGAAAGGGACGGCUAACUACGUG
rnacentral:rRNA from 1 species